GAGUGAACACGCUGAGAAUUCUCGAUGCCAGGCUGCCCAAGGCCACAGUGAGCAUCAGAUAAGGGAGAACUAUUCCUUUGUUCUGAAAAGACUUCAUGACUCAGGGCUGAGCUCAAUCUAAAUGACAUGCAGCAUUAAUUUCAUUUUCUACUUACUAUGUAGUCUAGGGUUCCUCCUGUUUCUCUGCCAUCUAGAGAUCAAUUCAUUUUUAUCAAUAUUUGGGAAAAUCAGUGACAUAAAUCAGCCCUGAUGGCCACAGGCAGAAUCUUGUGGGUGCCCUGCAGUUCACUCCUCGGGGCUGAGGCACCACCUCAUCAUCUUCAUCUGCCCGGGGGAGCCAUGGUAAUUCUCCUCUAGCGACAACCACAGCUCAAGCACCAUAGGCAGAUUCUGCACCCUGAGUCAAGGGCAUGGUGAUUUUAGAGCUCUACUCGUGCCCCUAUGCAUUAGCCAAAGGCAACAAGUGACUCGACCUCAUCCGCAUCCAGAUGUCUGGGUCAAUGCAGUGGAAGGAAGGGGUCAGUGAAGAGGCUGUUGGCGAAGACAGCCAAAGAAGUGCAGUCAUCACAAAAGGAGACAAAAUUUGUGUGUGGGCUCUGAAGAACAGUGCUGUGGAAGGAACCAUUAGAGAUGGCCAGUGUGACUGCUGGGAUUUAGGCCUAGAGAGCGGGAGAAACAGGCCAGGGUCAUGAGUCCUGGCUCCACACAGUCUCUCCACCCUGACCCAGCUCCAGCAUCAAACUUCAGCUGCUACAGAGAAGGCCAGGUGUAUGGAGCAAACAAAGCCUGCAGCCUGGGAGAUUAGGAACCGCUCCCAACAAUGGACUUAAUAACAUCACAUUCAUCACCUGAUUGGAUUCUUCCAACAUGAAGCUCACAGAAGUUCUCUCCCUAGUACCGUCCUGAUUACUCUGAGACCUCCUGGGGACAGGGUCCAAGCCCAAGUCUUCUUCAAGAACACAGGAAAUGGCCCACAGGGGGUUCUCUGGCAAUGUACAGCUAACUCUGCUUCUCAUGUUGUGUACUUCUCAUGUUGAAACUGUUACACACUUUCCAGGUACUAAUUCACUUGGUCCUCGCCACCCACCCUGCAAUCUAGGUAUUACUGUAACCCUCAUUUUACACAAUACAAAACUGAGCUCAUAAAGACUUAACAAGCUACUCCUAGUCACACGUCUAUUAACUGAAGGAGCCACAAUUUGGACCCAGGCAGUCUGGUUCCAAGGCACCUGCUCUUAACCCCCCAAAUACUCGGCCAACAUCUAUGAAUCUGAACUGCACUACAGGACACCACCCAGAGCACCUCGUGGACUCUCUACCCCGAAGGCCAGCAGCACUCCUGGGGGGAUCCCCAGAGAAUUCUUUCGGGACAUAGGGGUAUAGUGGGUCCUGUA